AGGACGAACGCUGGCGGCGCGCUUAACACAUGCAAGUCGAGCGAGAACCAGUCCUUCGGGACUGGGGACAGCGGCGAACGGGUGAGUAACACGUGGGUAAUCUGCCCUUGGUACCGGGAUAGCCCGGGGAAACUCGGAUUAAUACCGGAUGGCCCAGCAGCUCCUCGGAGCGGUUGGAAAAGGUAGCUUCGGCCUCCGACCAAGGACGAGCCCGCGGCGGAUUAGCUUGUUGGUGGGGUAACGCCUACCAAGGCGACGAUCCGUAGCUGGUCUGAGAGGACGAUCAGCCACACUGGGACUGAGACACGGCCCAGACUCCUACGGGAGGCAGCAGUGGGGAAUCUUGCACAAUGGGCGAAAGCCUGAUGCAGCGACGCCGCGUGAGGGAAGAAGGCUUUCGGGUUGUAAACCUCUUUCAGGAGGGACGAAGCUACUCGGGUUAAUAGCCCAGAGGGUGACGGUACCUUCAGAAGAAGCCCCGGCUAACUACGCGCCAGCAGCCGCGGU
rnacentral:rRNA from 1 species